rnacentral:rRNA from 1 species
UACGUAGGUGGCGAGCGUUGUCCGGAUUUACUGGGCGUAAAGCGCGCGUAGGCGGCCUGUUAAGUUCUGUGUGAAAGGUUUCGGCUCAACCGGAACAGUGCAUGGGAUACUGGCGGGCUUGAGGGCAGCAGAGGUCGGUGGAAUUCCCGGUGGAGUGGUGAAAUGCGUAGAUAUCGGGAGGAACACCAGUGGCGAAGGCGGCCGACUGGGCUGUACCUGACGCUGAGGUGCGAAAGCGUGGGGAGCGAACCGGAUUAGAUACCCGGGUAGUCCACGCCCUAAACGGUGGUGACUAGGUGUGGGGGGUAUCGACCCCCUCCGUGCCGCAGCUAACGCGAUAAGUCACCCGCCUGGGGACUACGGCCGCAAGGUUA